rnacentral:lncRNA from 1 species
AAACCAGUCCCCCGGCAUCCUUCGAUGCAUCUUCAGCCUCCACCGAUGAUCUCUGGCCUCCAAGAGUCGAUCGAGAUGGUUUUCUUCUUCCUUUCUCUUCCCAAAUGCUGGCCGCCAUCGUCGCUGUGGCUGCGGCAAAUACUCGUCGGAGGCGAGGUAAGAAGCCACUGAUCCCAUCUAUUAUUCUUCCCUUGGUCUUCCCCUUCUUGAUUGAGCAUCCACAUGCCCAAAUUCUGCCAAGAAAUCGCCGUAAAAUGAUCGGAAACCUUUCCCCUAUUUCGGCUUCUUCUCUUUAUAUUUACUUUUUUUUUUUAACCGUCGCUCGUCGCCGACGUUGCUAUCGUCACAAUCCUCGCCGAGGCCUUUUUCCGGUCGGUCGCAUCUGUACAUGGCCAUGGCCGAAUUCCAGCCGCCGACGAGUAGACUGGAGCUUGGAUUCAAAUGGGCCAAACCACCUGUUUCAACCCUUGUUUUUGCUUCCUUUUCAACCGCUGUCGGUUGCCUUUUGUCACCCACCAUCGCUGCAAGCUAUUCCAUGGCUGCCUUCCUCUCUUCCUCUAUUUUGCGCGAGAAAAAAAAAAAAAGUGCAAAUGGGUUAACCUCGACCCGGCCCGGUUCUUUGAUUGGAUCCUAAUAUACAAGGGUGCAAAUAGGUUGGCUCUGCGUCAUGAGUAACUCCGACCCAACUCGGUUCUUUGAUCAGAUUCUAAUAUUGGAUCCAAAUCUAAACUAAUAGAAAAUUGAGUUGGGUUACGGCCAAAAUUUUUAACCUAACAGAUCAUUCGGAUCAUGUCGAAUCCAUGUAUAAACCAACCCCAACCUAAAAAAUUUGAGUCCAGAGCUGGUCUGAGUUGGUUUGGAUUGGGCCGGAUACUUGUACUUCCCAUUAGUCGAGCUACUACAACAAACAUAUGGACAAUAUUUUGAUAAUGAAUAAAGAAAUACAAAUGUCAAAAUAUUAUGCGUUCGAAACACCUAGUGAAAGGAGCAAUGCUUAAGCUCCCAAUCACUUUAUAAUUAUCAAACUUCUCUUUUUUAAAAAAGGUCACACUGCUUAUGUCUUUACAUACUGUUGACUAGAUGAUCCAAUUCAUUAGAUAAUAAACUAAAUUCAUGACUGGUUCUACAAUUGAGAUUCAACAUUCCCAAUCAAUUAGACAAUAGGAUUCCUGAGAUUCACUAGUAGCUGCAGCGUGGACUCCCUCCACCUUGCUUUCUUCUACCUUGAUCUCUUCCUUCAACAUCUACUUUGGUGACAAUGAAGUUCAACAAUCAAUUACAGAAAUCUAUUAAUUACCGCAUAGCUAACUACUAUUGAUGGGGGGCAAAAUNNNNNNNNNNNNNNNNNNNNNNNNNNNNNNNNNNNNNNNNNNNNNNNNNNNNNNNNNNNNNNNNNNNNNNNNNNNNNNNNNNNNNNNNNNNNNNNNNNNNNNNNNNNNNNNNNNNNNNNNNNNNNNNNNNNNNNNNNNNNNNNNNNNNNNNNNNNNNNNNNNNNNNNNNNNNNNNNNNNNNNNNNNNNNNNNNNNNNNNNNNNNNNNNNNNNNNNNNNNNNNNNNNNNNNNNNNNNNNNNNNNNNNNNNNNNNNNNNNNNNNNNNNNNNNNNNNNNNNNNNNNGACCUGGUUCUUUGAUGGGAUCCUAAUAUACCAGGGUGCAAAUAGGUUGGCUCUGCGUCAUGAGUAACUCCGGCCCAACUCGGUUCUUUGAUCAGAUUCUAAUAUUGGAUCCAAAUCUAAACUAAUAGAAAAUUGAGUUGGGUUAUAGCCAAAAUUUUUGACCUAACAGAUCAUUCGGAUCAUGUCGAAUCCAUGUAUAACCCAACCCCAACCUAAAAAAUUUGAGUCCAGAGCUGGUCUGAGUUGGUUUGGAUUGGGCCGGAUACUUGUACUUCCCAUUAGUCGAGCUACUACAACAAACAUAUGGACAAUAUUUUGAUAAUGAAUAAAGAAAUACAAAUGUUAAAAUAUUAUGCGUUCGGCACACCUAGUGAAAGGAGCAAUGCUUAAGCUCCCAAUCACUUUAUAAUUAUCAAACUUCUCUUUUUAAAAAAAGGUCACACUGCUUAUGACUUUACAUACUGUUGACUAGAUGAUCCAAUUCAUUAGAUAAUAAACUAAAUUCAUGACUGGUUCUACAAUUGAGAUUCAACAUUCACAAUCAAUUAGACAAUAGGAUUCCUGAGAUUCACUAGUGGCUGCAGCUUGGACUCCCUCCACCUUGCUUUCUUCUACCUUGAUCUCUUCCUUCAACAUCUACUUUGGUGACAAUGAAGUUCAACAAUCAAUUACAGAAAUCUAUUAAUUACCACAUAGCUAACUACUAUUGAUGGGGGGCAAAAUGGAUCGUCCAGCCCACAUCAAAAGGGCCACCCAAUUUCGGCCCAACAGACGCCAAUGCUGACCGGACGUAUCCUCGGUCCGGCCCAGAACCAGCCCGAUCUCGGACUCUGCCGAAAGCUCCUUCAACCUCGGAUAUUCGCCGACACGCCUCGGCCAAGAUCGGGGCCCCCUCUUGUAUUUGUCGACUCGCCCGACCAAGCUCGGGCGCCCUCUCCAGUAAUGCGCCUCGGCCCUCGGGCUCGAGGCACUCCACCAAGCACACCUUCGACCCCGGAAUGCUAGACUGGCCUCAGCACCCGUCUAGCAGGGUAUGACCCGUUCUCAUCAUGAGUAGGAAUGCCCGAUGCGGCCUCAAUAAGCUCGGCCUCACCAACGGUCGCACCCAUGUGUGUACCUACGCCGUUCCCGAGAACAGACUCCGCCGCGCGCCAUAAACGAGCUCAGGCUGCACGCCAUUCCUACUCAUGAUGAGAACGGGUCAUACCCUGCUACGACUGUCAAUGUCUUGCCAUUUCCAAGGAUGGACUCCACCGCGCGCUACAAGCAAGCUCAAGCUACGCCACUCCCUCUCAUGAUGGGAACGGGCUAUACCUCCGCCACCUAAGCGCUCCUAUCAGGACUAUAAAGCACCCCAACAGGUAACGCCUAAGAAACUUUCGGUUGGAUUUUCUAAACUCCACUCUAACUUGAGCGUCGGAGGGCCCUCACCGGAAACACCGGUGAGGCUUUAUGCAGGUACACCGUCGGUCACAGGAGGUGGCUCUCCCCGUCUUCCUCCGCACUUCGGCAGCUCCUCCAACUCCUCCGGCAUGGUCACCCUCGAGCCAAAUUUGAACCACAACAACUAUUAACCACACAAAAUAGACAAUAAACAAUAUUGCUCUCAAAACAAAUUAGAACAUAAAAACAAUUUUAAACCUAUCUUUAUGUUAGAGACAUUGCUCACGCAAGUCUUAAAUCACAACUUAGAGGCUCAAAAGUCAAAACAGAAAAAAAAAUCUAUGCCUGACUAAACCAAGCAUUGCGAACAUGGCCAGCAGCCAAUUCUUGAUCUCCUUCACUUUAAGAAACGCUGCUUGGUCAGGAUCAUUGGCUAACCCAGACGAUCAAAUGGACCUCCUGGGUGGAGCUUGUUCUCCAAAUUCUAGGGAACAACCAAAAAAUGAUCAAUUUGCUCUCAUUGAAAUAUUCUACGAACUAACAAAACAAAUUUAGAGGUCCCCAAAUGCAAUUGUUGUGACUAUAUCAUGCUGUAACAAAUCCUACAAAUAGAGACCACCAAAAAUUGCUGCACAUAUACUAUAUAACUUAAAAACAUAAAAACUUAGGAAAGUUUCACCUUAGCAACUGAUUUUUGCAAACAAAAAACAUAAUAUCAUUCAUCUCUUUCACUUUACCAAAGAAACAACUAUCAAGUUACUGAUUCACUUUUAAGUGUUUGAUAAAAUAACCUUCGGCCAACUUGUUACACUACCAAGAACUUUUAGCACUUGUUUGGUUUGCGGAAAAAAAAUUUCUUCACUAGAAUAUUUUUCCUAAGAAGACGAUUCCUAGGAAUAUGAUGCUUAGAAAAAUAGUUUUAGCAUGUUUGGUCGAUCACGGAAAAGUGGCAGAUCUCAGAGUGGCUUAUAUUUGGUUGAGAAUUUACUUUUCUAGAAAUGUUGUAUGAAAUAUCUAUUAUAUCAUUAAUAAAAAGAAAAACUUUAUCUAUAAAUUUUGAUGGCUUAAAGAUACUUUUUUUUUUAAAAAAAAGGGACUCCAAUUUUCAAUUGGUGUGAAAGUAGCUUUCUCAUAUCUCUCAUGGGUUUUUCUUCUCCAUGAAACAUAGUAAUCUUAUUCCUAUGGAAACACUACUUUUUCAUUUCUCUCUUUUGAAAACUCCAACAAAUAAGAGGUAUUUAUUUAUUUUUCAUUGACCACACUUUUUCUCUUUAUUUUUCUACAAACCAAAUGAGUCUUUAAGAUAAAGUUACAAAAGAAAAUAGCUUUAUAUCAAAAUUCAAAACAACCUUCAACAAAUGAAGAUAAUAAAUCAGUCCCUAAAUUAGCAUAUAAAAAUAAGGUCCGNNNNNNNNNNNNNNNNNNNNNNNNNNNNNNNNNNNNNNNNNNNNCAUCAAAGUUCCAAAAUUUGCAGUCUCACCAUGACCUUGAUUGGACUUGAUAGAAAAUAGCUGGAAAAAAAAUAUCCCUUUUUCACUUAGAUAUAUAGUUAAUAUGCAUAAAAAUUACAAUAUUCUUAACAAUGUAAAUACAAUAAUAAAGAUGAUUAUUACCAGCACAAGCUAAUCAUCAGUAUUAAUAGCAAUAAUUGUUUCGUAAUCUUUAACCUUGUAUUUGUAUGAGGAGGUGGACUAUCUACAUACGAAAAAAUUACAAAAUUAAAAAUUAUAAAGUUUUAAUGCACUAAUAUAUAAUAAAGUUUAUAAAUGUUCUAGAAAUUGAAUCUACAAGAUGAGGCAAUAUGACUUGAAGCUAAUCUUAUGUGCAUAUCAAUGCCUCAACCAUAUCCGAUGNNNNNNNNNNNNNNNNNNNNNNNNNNNNNGAGUCUUUAAUAGUCUAGAAUAUCAAAAUUUUGAUCUCCUAGUGGAUGAACCUCUAAAAAAAAGCAUCGCAAGUCAUUUUUAUUAACAAUAUUGACUUAUAUUUUAAUGCAGACAUUCAAAUUAGAUAUCAUAUAAAAUAUUUUGUCUUCCAAAUAAGUCUCCAAUUCUAACUUGGAUGGUUGAGCAAUUUCUUUUAGGAAAAAUCUUGCAUAAAAAUACUCUCAUCUUGUCUACCUUGAGAUAUAGACACCAUCUCCUUCACUUGAACAUGAGAGCCAUAUGCACCAUAUAAAAUUGUAUAAUCAUCAAAAAGAUUUUAAAGAACAUCAAGCAUUUUUUUGAUCUCAAAUGAAGCACGAUCACCAUACAAUAGAUUUUACGAAAGCAAUACUUUCAUCUUAGUCUUGGAUCAAGAACAACCCCUACGACAAGAAUGUGAAACCAUUCCUUUAAAUUUUUCUUGCAUCUUUAAGGCCAUCAUUAUUAUAAUUGCAUUUGAACUUCUAGAUUCUUGAAUCAAGACCAUCUGUAUUCUCUAAAUUUCAUAGAAAUACAAAUUAUCGGUUGGAUUUUUUGUUUGUGAAAAAAAAAUAGUUAUAUGAUGUAAAACCUUUAAAAAGUUACAAAUAAUAGUGCAUUUAGACAAUGUUCCUCAAUUUUGGUGCAUUUUCAAAAUUGGGAUCUUGGGCCUCAAGUUGCACAAACACAUCCUUGAAUUGUAUAGCAUUAUCUAACAUAAGAUACAUAGAAUUCCAACAAGUAGGUAAAUCUAUGCAUUUCCUUUUCUUACCAUUCAUCUUUAAUUGUUUGACAAUUUCCAUUGAUGUUUUCAACUUUGUUUGAGAUGAUUUAUAUAUUUAACAGCCUCGUGGAUCCUAUCAAUAGCAUCCUCCACUUUCUUUAACCCAUCCUUCACAAUCAAAUUAAGAAUAUGUGCACAAUAGCGCAUAUGAAGAAAUCUACCAUCCAAAAGUAAAUCUCUUCUAAAUCAUCUUUAAAGUUGCAUAGCCUCAAUUGUGUUUGCUGACAAAUUGUCAAAGGUGAUUGAACCCAACAUUCUCUCAAUAUUCCAGCAUAAAAUGUAGCUAGCUAUACAAUCACUAAUGACUAUGCUAGUAUGUGGUGAAAGAAGCAUCUUAAACUUCAUAACAUACUUUUUAAGUUUUCAAUUAUUUGUGAUAUAGUAUGCAGUGAGACAUAUGUAUCCCGAUGCAUGAUUUGAUGUCCAUAUGUCAGAUAUUAAGCUGAUUCUUCCAUAGUUUGCCUUAAACAACUCAUCAAGUCUUUUUUUUCCUUUUUAUAUGCUUUAAAGCAGAUGCUAAUGUUGUCCUUAGAAACAAUAUGAAAUUUAGGUCUAAGGUUCCUAACAAACAUCUAAAAAGUUGGAUGUUUAACUAUUGUAAAUGGCAACUCUUGUAGAAUUACAAUUCUUGCAAAGUCCUUAUGGAUUCUCUCUUGAUCAAAUGAAUAGGGAACCAACUCAUUCAAUGCAACACCAUCUUUUGAAGUUACAUUAUCUAUUAGCUAUUUUUGCCUCCUAUCAAGACAUUUUUUUUUUGACUUACAAUUUUUUGUAUAUUUGUGAAGAUGACUUGUCCUAUUUUCAAAAUCGGCUGAAAAAAUACAAUGGCAAUAAUUACAUUUAUCCUUGUCUUUUUGGUUUUCUGUCUCAAUAUAAUGAUUCUAUAUCUCCGACCUUCUUUUUUUGCUUGCUUUGGAGCAAUCUGUAUUAUAAGGCUCUAUAACUUGAGAACUACAACAAUCAUGUGCACUUGAAACUUCAACCAUAUUUUCAUUGCUACCCAUCAUAGAUACUAACCUAUUUUGCCCAGAAUUCAAUAAAAUGCAACUAACUAUGAUGGAUACACAAAAAGAAACAAGUUAACAAGUAAGAGAUCUUUAAUACAAGGAAACCAAGUUCUCCAACUUUAAAACAUACUAACCUAAUUUCAAACACAGCCACUUUUAUAUAAAAACAGUUCAUCAAAAUGCAAAUAUGUAACUACAUCAUAAACAUUUCAAGCUGGCAAUAUCUAAUACACAUCACUAAAUCUUCGAAUGCUCCGAAACAUUAAAGAUAAAUUAUUAGUUUGAUGGUAAGAAUCCUUUCAGCACAUACACAUACAAAAUAUCUGAAUGAAUGGUAAAGAGACUCAAGUCACCAUACAAGCACGUAAUCAGCAGAAGAAUAAUAACAAGCUAUAUCAAUCCACCCUACAAGUACGUAAACAAAUAAAUAAAAGUAAAGUGGCAUUGCCUUAAAGUUGCACAAUCGUAGCAAUAGUCAAAUUCUCUAAUUCACUUUUAAUUCAAAGAAUUUCAACCUCCUAUGUAUCUCAUUCAAAUCUAAAUCAAAAUUUCUAAAUAACAGUAGAAAUUAUACAAAAUUGGAUGAAAAAAAAGAAAGCUAGCAAACACUCAAGAUUCUUGAAAAAAAGGAGAAAAUCAAAACUUUAAUUCUAAACCAAAGAAUUCGUCAUUUGCAAUAGCUCUUUUAAAUCCAAACCAUAAGCUGAGGUAAAGAAUAGAAGAUCCAAAAAUGAAUAACAGAGCUAUCUAUCUUGAUCUGAUUUUGGAAUUGCAAAUAAAAGGGGGUGACUCCAUUUUAAACUGGUCAAACAAGGCUUAGCCGAGCUUUAGGUUAUUCAGGUUUGGUUUGAUGAGCUCAGUUUAAGUGCAGCUAUAACUAUUGAAGCUUGUCUUAUAAUCCAUGUCUCUUAGCUGUUCAUGAGCCUACCAUGAUAGUCUAUAGUUUUUGUAAUUAGCUAACAUUUGUGCUCAAUUUGUUUAUAAUAUAAGCUAAGCUUAAAUUGAUCUCGUUAUGGAUUAUGCUUGAUCAAUUUUGCUACCGUAAAAUGUCUUGUAUUUUUGUUGAACUAAGAUAUAAAACCACAUGAUUGUUUUGAAUGCUCAGCUUGACUAUGUUAAGGACAUGACAAUAGGGGCUAAUACGUUGGUACUUGAUUAAUCCUAAAGAAUUUGUGUCAAAAGGUAUGGCUUGCCACAAAAGUGGCACAACACAAGGACCUAGCCAAGGGCGGUUAAACGUUGGCAUUUGUUUUAUCAUGAAGGAUUGUAACUCAAGAAGAUGCGUGGUAUUACAAUCCUGCCAUAAGAACAAUGUGGUCAUAGCUCAUGAGAUAAAUUUAAUAUUUUGAAAGAACUUAGAUUAAUUAAUAAAAAAUUAUUUUUGAGAAAGAUUGAAAUUGACAUGCUUAAUAUUUUGAUAGUACUACAUAUAUGAAUUUAGUUCUGAACUAAUGAAUUUCAUAUGCUUGUUUUCUUCAAAUUAUUACUUUUUUAAUUAUCCGAUUUGUCUAGUUAUAAUGUUCAUUGCUUAUUGGGUUAUGUAGCUCAUUAUUUUAUAUCUUACUAUUUUUAUAGAUCUUGAGAACUAAGCUAGCAUGGGGAUAUCUUUCGAGAGAGUGAUUAGAAGUAGAACUUUGGUCUCUUUAUUUUAGAUUAAGAUUUUACCUAAGUUUGAUGUAAGAUCUUUUGAAUAUCAUUGGAUUUUGUAAGAGAUUAAACUAUGGAUUUUUGUUAUUUAAAUUAUGGA